UGGAAGUGGCACAGAGGGACGGAGGGUGAGGGGAUGCUGCUGCUGCCCACGGUGGCAGCGGGACAGGCAGCGAGGGGCUGCCCCUGUGCCCGGCGCGGCGCGGAGGGAUGCGGGGCAGCUGCAGGGCGGCCCCUCGGCGCAGGGCAGGGGGCGGCUCCGCCCCGCCCGCAGGUGCCGGGCAGUGUCCGCCGGGCCAUGGAGCAGGAAUACAGGCUCUCGAUUUGCGGCAAACUGUGCUACGCAAUAGGAGGUGCCCCAAAUCAAGUGGCCGGGAGCGCUGCUGCUUUCUUCCUGCAGAUCUACCUGCUGGACAUAGCCCACAUUACUCCGUUUCAUGCCUCUUUGGUGCUGUUCAUUGGCAAAGCCUCAGGUGCAGUAACUGAUCCUGUUGCUGGCUUUUUUAUUAGCAAAAGCAGAUGGACAAAAAUUGGCCGGCUCAUGCCUUGGAUGCUGGCAUGUACACCCUUCACAGUAGUGUCCUAUUUUUUUAUGUGGUACCUGCCUCCUUUUGCAUCCGGAAGAGUUGCAUGGUAUCUGACUUUCUACUGCCUUUUCCAAGCACUGACCACAUUAUUCCAAGUACCAUAUUCUGCCCUCACCAUGUUUCUCAGCACAGACCAGAAGGACAGAGAUUCUGCAACGGCAUACCGAAUGACUGUGGAAGUGCUUGGGACCUUGAUUGGAGCUGCACUUCAGGGACAGAUUGUGGCCAGUGCUCAUGUCUCUCAUCAUUGCACUGUGAAUCCCCCUGUAAACACAACUGACUCCUGGCAUGAUGCUCCCAGCUUUCCAGACCCCUCAGAUCACCUGUCUCAUCAAGCAGAAGUUUAUAUGAUUGCAGCAGGGGUCAUAGGAGGUGUGUACCUUCUUGGAAUUGUCAUUCUUUUUCUUGGAGUAAAGGAAAAAGACGAUCCUUAUGCCUUAAAUUCAGACAGAGCAAUUCCUUUUUGCAAGGGGCUUGGACUCACCAUGAAGCAUGGUCCGUAUGUGAAGCUUACGGCUUCAUUUCUUCUCAUCUCAACAGCAGUUCAGCUGGAGCAAAGCAACUUUGUCCUGUUCUGCACUCAUGCUGCUGGUCUGCGCAAUCACUUCCAGUAUUUGGUGGUGACCAUCUUGGUAUCAGCAGCUGUGAGCAUUCCCUUCUGGCAGAAGUUUCUGCAGCGAUUUGGCAAGAAGUGUGCAGCGUGUGGGAUUUCGUGGAUGAUUCCUUUUGCAGUCAUGCUAGUGACCAUUCCAAACCUGAUCCUGGCUUACUUCGUGGCCUUCGUCUCUGGGCUGAGCAUUGCAGCAUCUCUUCUGUUGCCAUGGUCAAUGCUGCCUGAUGUUGUUGAUAACUUUCGCCUGCAGAAUCCUCAUGGAAAAGGACAUGAAACCAUUUUCUAUUCUUCAUAUGUUUUCUUUACCAAGAUGUCAGCAGGAAUCGGCUUAGGAAUUUCUGCAGCAGGGCUGGAGUUCACUGGAUACAAGCCAGGGAUAUGCAAACAAUCCAGUGAUGUGAUCCUGACACUGAAAAUCCUUAUUGGAGCAGUCCCUGCUAUUCUCAUCCUUGUAGGUUUAUUUAUACUUCUUUUCUACCCAAUCACUGAGGAAAGUCGGAAAGAAACAAAACUUGCACUUGAAGAGUUAAGAAGGAGCCAUCAAAGCACUGAGAAUCUGGAUGACCACAAAAAGGACACUUCAGUCUGAAAGCACUGAAUACAAUGACUUUCUGAAAACAAUCUCACAUCCCCCACACAAACUCUGAGAGAGUCUUCUGGGCCAUUUCUCUGCUCAUAUUGCCUCAGAACGGAUAAAGGACGACUCUGACAUAGUCAUGGGUGAAAUGAAGAGAGGACAUCACUGUGAAAAAACAGAUAUAAAAUGCCAUGCACUGUGUUAAACUGGACAUUACAAACAUCAGGAACAUAAGCUGUUGAAGGCCUGGGUUUUUUUCAUUUGUUUUUCAGUGAUUAAUGGAAAGCUCUGAUCUCAUUGCAGAAGGAGAUAUGGAGAGAACGGGAGAUUCCUUUGAUUUGUAGGUCAAGGGAAAAAAUGUGAUGCACCACCCAAGUUUUAAUUCAUGUGAUGUAUUUCACCUUUAGAGGCUGGGCUGAACAUAAUCUCUGCCUAUAAACUGCACUGUAGUAUGUUUGGAAAGCACUUGGGAAUCCUAAACUAUGUAAAGUUAGGAUUUACUUUGUUUUGAAAUGAAGCAAAUCAACGAUGCAGACGCCUUGAGGAUUUUCUCAUGAAGAGUUAGUUUCUGAGAUUUUGAUGUAAUUUAACUUCAUAGAUUUUUAUAUGAAAUAGAACCUUAAGUUUCCCAUUGCUGGAGUUUGUUACUUCUGAAACCUGUAAGCUGAUCUUUGUCAGAGAAUAAGUACUUAGCACUUUCAAGAUCUACCUCUCCACUCAGGAUAUCCAAAAUCAGUGAGUCCCUUCCAAAAAUUAGACUAUACCUUUCAAAUUUCUCUACAAUUUGGCCUUUAAGUAGUCAGUACUUAGCCAUUUCUCCUGUGGUGCAGGUCUCUGCCUCACACAACACUGUGGCGUGGUUGUUAAUCUCAGCUUGUACCGUCUUUUAUAAUAAUGAGGCUACACCUGGCUUUUAAAUGGUGAUUUUUCUUUCAGUCAAGGAUGUCAUCAUCCUUUGGAUUCAUUAAUUCAAACCUCAUUUCUACUACAGAUUCACACUGCUAAGCGUAUUUUGUAGAUGAAAUACACACCUAACCUCAGGCACUUUCUGGAGCACUUAAGUUCAGAUCUGGUCGUUUUGGGCUUCCUCUUUAGCCAGUGGCAAUAGAGACCUCCGGAGGCUGGCUCCAAGUUUGAGCUGAGAUGGCUGGAACGAAGACAUCUAAGUCUCAAGCGGGGAGUGAUGGAUCCAAGAGUUGAAGUCUUGUUCACCUUGAAGAAAUUAGCACAAUGCAAGAUAAGACAUGAAUUUACAGCCCAGUGGCUUCACUGUAUCAAUGGGUGAGAAAGUGCCUUUAUUUCAUACCAGCGAUGCUUUUGGAGGACUGGUGUGCCGCUCUUUGCAGUAGGAGUCACUGUGACCACAAAUAAUUUGCUCAGGGCCUUCUGGGAAGUCACACACAGUGAUGAAACUGGAAACGGGGAAAGCUUUUACUGAAAGACACUGUAGAGUAACAUCAGUGCAUCUACCACGUCUCUCAGUAAGUUUAAUACUGAAACCUUUUCAGGCAAGUUUGAAGUCCAAGGGCUAAUGAACUAUCCUAAUUCAAGAAAAUACUUAAUCAUGAGUGAGCUUUUAAGGGUAUAUUUAGAGUGCAUGUGGAUAAGAGUUAACAAUGUUUAAGACUUCUGUUGAAUUGGCAUCCAAGGCUGGGGUUUUAUUUGUUUUGGUUCUUGGACAAAUCAAGAUUCGUAUGCCUGCGGCAUAUGUGUUUACAACAAUAAAAACCAUAAUCCUGUAUACAAUUUUCAGUCUGAUGGAAUUCGAAAUAGCAGAUUUACUGUGCUUUGAAAUAGGUAAGUUAUGUAAUGUUGCGAAUGGAUUUUUACAAGGCUUUGAUUUAGCAGCAGUUUAGGAUUUAUUAAUAGCUUGAGGAAGAUCACGAGAUAAAAAUAUGUGAUUUUAAUAGCACUUAAUCAUUAGCCAAUUCAACAAAGUGGUUCAACAGCGUUUGUUACACUCAAAACAGCAACUUGAUUCAAGAAUCAAGAAUGGUAAGGUUCACGCCAGACUUACUGCAAGGUUAAAUCAAAUCACACAGAGGAAUACACACAGAGAGAGAUACAGACAUGCAAACACACCGAGGUAAACCGAUGCCCAGAAUUUCCCUUCUCUUGAGUUCAGCGAAUUACUCGCUCCUAGUUCAUUGCUAUUCUCAGUGGGUGAUUGUUGAGUCUUAAGAAAGCUGAACUUGCCCUUAUCCUCAUCUGCAUUAGCGGACAACCCUGCGAGGUGUCCCCAGCUCAGGAGGAGAUGCUGAUCACGGCCCUCUGUGAUCCCUGAGAGCUCAAGGGUUCUCACUUAGCAUCGCUAUUUACAGGAUGAUGAGGCGAUUGACUCUGACCAGUGUUUUUCCACUCAGGCCACAAUUCAGAUGUCCAGUACCUUUCACGUUGUACCAAUCUGGUAUCGACCCACACAGGCUACAAUCCAGGCAGGCAGUGCUCCAGGUCUGUCCAGGUGACUGCUGGUCCUCGGUCACUACUUUUCAGCAGGAGUCCUGGGUGCAGUCAGGGUGUGCCUCAUCCCUCUAACUCAUUAUACUUAUUUGAAGGCAAGGACACGAUGAAAAUUCUCUCCCAUGGUGUUUCACUUACCAUGGAUCACCAAGUGACGCCAGCGGGGGAACUGCACCAACAUGUAAUAAUAACCACAUAGCUCCAAACCAUCAUAGAAAACAGCUUUAGGGGUUAAUUUAUUUGGUUAUAUUUAUGUAUUUCUGAAUAGUUGUCUCUAAAAACAACCAGAACUCCCAGUAGAGGCUGUUAAUGUUGUUUAAUGGGUUAUGUUUUCACCUGCUGUAAGUCUGUAGCUGCAAUGCAGUGGGUGCGUAUGGGUUUACACAAGGUGAACGCUUAGCCCGGUGACAAACAUUGCACAAACUGCUGGCUGUGGUUGAUCGGAGUGAUUUGAAUGUGGCUUAAGAUAUUAUUUCUAGACCAGUCGGGCAGUUGCCUCUAAAUUGCACAACACCCAAUCUGAAUUCAAUCUCUUGUAAAGUAAUCUUAGUUGAUUAUAAACUGUUUCCCUCCUUUCCAGAGAGACAACGUCAUAUUUAUCUAACAGGGAUGUACUCAAUCCUCACUUUGUCUAAAGGACCAAUAAUGGGAACUGCCAAAAUGAAACAGAAAGCUUCCAUGGAUGAAAUGUCACAGAGUAUUUUUAUAUUUUGCAAAUCCUGUUAUUUUAUGUGAUUAUCAGAACUGUACUUUUGUUGAGAAAAGUAAUGUAUUUUUCCAAGUUAAAAGAAUGAGUGCAGGGUAAGGGAUCUAUUUUUUAAUUUUCUUUUUUUUUAGAGCUCAGUGUAGGUGCUGUAAAACGGGUGAACUUUGCCUUUCUCCUUGUCAGUUUUAAAUUACAUGUAUGCUUUAUGUACGUUCAGAACUUGUGACUGAAAGAAGCAGAUUCUUAUAUUGACCACCAUUCAGAUUAAAUGCUAAUCUAACGUAAUCCUCCUGCCUCGCACUCAUUGGCAGCAACAAGGGUCAGGCUCAGUCCCCAGGGGCUCUCGUUCAGGUAAUACCCAAAUGCAUCGUAAGCAUACGGGAGAUUGGAUUAAAGCAGCUGGGGGCCUAAUGGACCAUACUUCCCACCUGCACACAAAAUGGAUUUACACAAAUAAAGGAGGAAAAGGGUAAGAGAGUUGCGUGUCACUGGGUAGACCCCCCAAGGCAAACCAUGCCCAUGCCUUGCUCUUGCUGAAGUAGAGUGAUGGCAGCCAAAUCUUCUCUACUGGUCUGAUUGCUGGCGUAGCCAGUAGCUGAGCUACUCACUGGUCUUCUCUUUCAGUUUCAUCCCCCUCGAAGUUUCAAUAUAACAUCAAGGCCUUCCAAGGAGAUCCCACAUCCCAUGUGCUGCUGCUGGCGGUCGGUCUCACCACAGGUCCUGACUAACCAUGGAGGUGAGAUGCUGUUCCCCAUCAGGCACCGGAGGAGGGGGCUGCCAUUAGCCACUGCCACUGGCCACGGUUCCUGCUAACUGUGUUCUCCUGCCUCCCCAUACCCCGUCUGACCCUGAGCUUGCUGACCUGCCUUGGCUUAGGUGGAUUAGCUCAUUUGUGCUGAGUCCCCCACUUUAGCAGGUGGAUACCACCUCGGACAUCUGUCCCUGGGGAGCCCCUGAAGGCUUGUGUCAGGUCACUGGGUUUUCAGGAAGGACUCUGUAGAUUUGAGUACUAAUUCCUUAAGUCACUCCUGCACCUUAUGAGAAUCUCCACUAGAUUCUAUUCCCUGCUGUAUCCUCUCAUCUCUACUCACUUCCUGCAUUACAUGUAAAGUAAUUGAAGUGGAAAAUGUUUUAAACUAAACCCUGCUUUUGGGGGUUCAUUGUUUCCAACUAUCACUUGUUCAUCUCCUUUUCUACUCGCCUUUCUGGGCUGUAGAUAGAAAACACAAAAUUAACUCGCUCUCCUUGAGAGCAGGAGUUUCCUUAAGGGAAACUCAGGUUCUUUUAGACAUGGUAUUUGUUGUUCAGCUCUUUGAAAAUGAGGAGGAGAAGGCAGGUUAGUUCAAGGUCUCAUGCAGUUGUGUGCAGUCAGUGGCAGUCUAAUGUACAGUGGUCCAUCACGUACCUCGUAUGAAUUUCAUAUCAUAGUUAUGUAUAAAACAGUCUCAAAACGUUACAACAGACUUUCCCUUCAGAAAACUUCCAGACUGGUUUAUGGAAAGGUCACUUGGAUUCAUACAACCAUCAGGUGAGGGAGGGAGUUUUGUUUUCCUGCAGUUUUUGAGAUCGCAAGUUUGUCGUGCUAUACUGAACAUUUUAUUUUCACCUUAACUCUCUGCCAGACCACGGUUCAGGCACCUAGCAAGAGCGCUGAGUAUUAUUGUUACAAAAAUGCAUAUGUGUUAUAGGCUUAAAGCAUGAAAUCCAAUAGCUUUCACAUCAUUAAGCACUCAAUCUGCUGCAUAAAACAGAUGCUAACUCACUGGGAAGCUUCGUUCAGAAGACAAAGCAGUAGUGCACAUAUCUGUCUCUGAGGCAGAGCAGAAGACUUUUUUGCUAUGUUGCACCUGAGAAUUUACAGUCUCUGAAGCUGCAGACUGACACGGCACAGAGCUGAACGGACGAUGAAGGGCGAAUGGUCCUAGAGCCGGGGCACUCUGCAGCCAAGAGGUUGUUUUCAAGCCACCGGCUUGUCAUCAUGAUGAUGGAAUCAGAUUUACACUGCCAGAGAAGUUUCUAUCCAAAAUGACUGCAGCUUGUGAGGAAGUAUUUCCAUUGUGUUUCCAAAACAAACUCACCCUUUGGUCACCUUCAAAAUCAUCGAGAAUAAUCUGCACAUUUGCCACAUCCAGCAGCUUCAGCAAUUCCGCCAGUGCCAGCCACGUCAGACUGUGAGCCUCGGUGCAGAUGUCCCUGCUGACAUCAGUGUGGGAUGAAUACAGAACUGCAGCCAAUUCCAGACUCUGGGAAAAGUGCAGCUACGCUGAUCCAGCCAGGCAGAGAGAAUGGGCAACUCCAGAAUUCCUGAAUUGACUUGUGGGGGCAAAAGAAUAGCCAUAAGAGAAGAAAGUUCCCUAAAAACACCCUGCAAUCCUCUCCUAAGGAUUCUUGAUUGACAACAUUGACUGGGUGGAAAGAUGUUGAAUGUGGAGACCCAAAUGCUGCAUGCAGAACAGAGGAGACGCAGAGAAUCUAUUAACACUUUCUGGUUAACCGAUAUUCACACACUCAGCUUGUCCUGCCCUGAUUCCCUGCCUGAUCCUGUGUUUAUACAGAAGUACAUCAAUGGGGAAAACAGCAACUUGACCCAAGAGAUCAUAGAAUUCCACCCUCUGCCAUGGGCAGGGACA